rnacentral:rRNA from 1 species
UCGUAACAAGGUAACCACUAGAGUUUGAUCCUGGCUCAGAUUGAACGCUGGCGGCGUGCCUAACACAUGCAAGUCGAGCGAGAAAGCCUGCUUCGGUGGGUGAGUAAAGCGGCGCACGGGUGAGUAACGCGUGGGCGACCUGCCCAGGAGAUCGGGAUAACAGUGGGAAACCGCUGCUAAUACCGGAUACGAUCUGCUUUAUCGUAGAUGAAAGGGGGCCUCUGUUGUAUGCUCCUGCUCCUGGAUGGGCCCGCGUCUCAUUAGCUAGUUGGUGGGGUAACGGCCUACCAAGGCGACGAUGAGUAGCUGGUCUGAGAGGAUGAUCAGCCACACUGGGACUGGAACACGGCCCAGACUCCUACGGGAGGCAGCAGUGGGGAAUAUUGCGCAAUGGGCGAAAGCCUGACGCAGCGACGCCGCGUGAGGGAAGAAGGCUCUCGGGUCGUAAACCUCUGUCAAGAGGGAAGAAGUGCAUAUGUCUUAAUACGGCGUAUGUUUGACGGUACCUCUAGAGGAAGCACCGGCUAACUCCGUGCCAGCAGCCGCGGUAAUACGGAGGGUGCAAGCGUUAAUCGGAAUCACUGGGCGUAAAGCGCACGUAGGCGGCCUUGUAAGUCAGAUGUGAAAGCCCACGGCUCAACCGUGGAAUUGCAUUUGAAACUGCUCGGCUUGAGUAUCGGAGAGGGUAGCGGAAUUCCCGGUGUAGGAGUGAAAUCCGUAGAUAUCGGGAGGAACACCAGUGGCGAAGGCGGCUACCUGGACGAUAACUGACGCUGAGGUGCGAAAGCGUGGGGAGCAAA